UCCUAGUCCCUGAGACCCUAACUUGUGAGGUAUUUUAGUAACAUCACAAGUCAGGCUCUUGGGACCUAGG
rnacentral:pre_miRNA from 28 species